rnacentral:rRNA from 2 species
CAGCAGUAGGGAAUCUUCCACAAUGGACGAAAGUCUGAUGGAGCAACGCCGCGUGAGUGAAGAAGGGUUUCGGCUCGUAAACUCUGUUGUUAAAGAAGAACAUAUCUGAGAGUAACUGUUCAGGUAUUGACGGUAUUUAACCAGAAAGCCACGGCUAACUACGUGCCAGCAGCCGCGGUAAUACGUAGGUGGCAAGCGUUGUCCGGAUUUAUUGGGCGUAAAGCGAGCGCAGGCGGUUUUUUAAGUCUGAUGUGAAAGCCUUCGGCUCAACCGAAGAAGUGCAUCGGAAACUGGGAAACUUGAGUGCAGAAGAGGACAGUGGAACUCCAUGUGUAGCGGUGAAAUGCGUAGAUAUAUGGAAGAACACCAGUGGCGAAGGCGGCUGUCUGGUCUGUAACUGACGCUGAGGCUCGAAAGUAUGGGUAGCAAACAGGAUUAGAUACCCUGGUAGUCCAUACCGUAAACGAUGAAUGCUAAGUGUUGGAGGGUUUCCGCCCUUCAGUGCUGCAGCUAACGCAUUAAGCAUUCCGCCUGGGGAGUACGGCCGCAAGGCUGAAACUCAAAGGAAUUGACGGGGGCCCGCACAAGCGGUGGAGCAUGUGGUUUAAUUCGAAGCUACGCGAAGAACCUUACCAGGUCUUGACAUACUAUGCAAAUCUAAGAGAUUAGACGUUCCCUUCGGGGACAUGGAUACAGGUGGUGCAUGGUUGUCGUCAGCUCGUGUCGUGAGAUGUUGGGUUAAGUCCCGCAACGAGCGCAACCCUUAUUAUCAGUUGCCAGCAUUAAGUUGGGCACUCUGGUGAGACUGCCGGUGACAAACCGGAGGAAGGUGGGGAUGACGUCAAAUCAUCAUGCCCCUUAUGACCUGGGCUACACACGUGCUACAAUGGAUGGUACAACGAGUUGCGAACUCGCGAGAGUAAGCUAAUCUCUUAAAGCCAUUCUCAGUUCGGAUUGUAGGCUGCAACUCGCCUACAUGAAGUCGGAAUCGCUAGUAAUCGCGGAUCAGCAUGCCGCGGUGAAUACGUUCCCGGGCCUUGUACACACCGCCCGUCACACCAUGAGAGUUUGUAACACCCAAAGUCGGUGGGGUAACCUUAUAGGAACCAGCCGCCUAAGGUGGGACA